GGAUUAGAUACCCUGGUAGUCCGCGCAGUAAACGGUGAUCACUAGGUGUAGCGGGUAUUGACCCCUGCUGUGCCGGAGCAAACGCAUUAAGUGAUCCGCCUGGGAAGUACGGUCGCAAGAUUAAAACUCAAAGGAAUUGACGGGGGCCCGCACAAGCGGUGGAGCAUGUGGUUUAAUUCGACGCAACGCGAAGAACCUUACCUGGGCUUGAAAUCCCGAUCGUAUCAUAUGGAAACAUAUGAGUCGGUUCGGCCGGAUCGGUGACAGGUGCUGCAUGGCUGUCGUCAGCUCGUGCCG
rnacentral:rRNA from 1 species